UUGACGGGGCCCGCACAAGCGGUGGAGCAUGUGGUUUAAUUCGACGCAACGCGAAGAACCUUACCAGGUCUUGACAUCCCGAUGCUAUUUCUAGAGAUAGAAAGUUACUUCGGUACAUCGGUGACAGGUGGUGCAUGGUUGUCGUCAGCUCGUGUCGUGAGAUGUUGGGUUAAGUCCCGCAACGAGCGCAACCCCCGCCGUUAGUUGCCAGCGGUUCGGCCGGGCACUCUAACGGGACUGCCCGCGAAAGCGGGAGGAAGGAGGGGACGACGUCUGGUCAGCAUGGCCCUUACGGCCUGGGCGACACACGUGCUACAAUGCCCACUACAAAGCGAUGCCACCCGGCAACGGGGAGCUAAUCGCAAAAAGGUGGGCCCAGUUCGGAUUGGGGUCUGCAACCCGACCCCAUGAAGCCGGAAUCGCUAGUAAUCGCGGAUCAGCCAUGCCGCGGUGAAUACGUUCCCGGGCCUU
rnacentral:rRNA from 1 species